rnacentral:rRNA from 1 species
AUGCCCCUUGCUGCUCCACAGCUUGUCGAAUAUCCUCCUCGACCGCGACUGCAGCAGGAGGCCUCCGAGUUGGUCCUUGAAGCUGUUCCUGCCAACAACUUGAUCUUUGAAGCUGUUUCUGCCAACAACUUGAUCCUUGAAGCUGCUUCUGCCUCCCCUGAGCUCGACGUGCCGGUCCUCGCCCUCUCCUCUUGCGCUUAG